UACGGAGGAUCCAAGCGUUAUCCGGAUUUAUUGGGUUUAAAGGGUGCGUAGGCGGCCUAUUAAGUCAGGGGUGAAAGACGGUAGCUUAACUACCGCAGUGCCUUUGAUACUGAUGGGCUUGAAUGGACUAGAGGUAGGCGGAAUGUGACAAGUAGCGGUGAAAUGCAUAGAUAUGUCACAGAACACCAAUUGCGAAGGCAGCUUACUAUGGUUUAAUUGACGCUGAGGCACGAAAGCGUGGGGAUCAAACAGG
rnacentral:rRNA from 1 species